rnacentral:rRNA from 1 species
UAGGGAAUCUUCGGCAAUGGACGGAAGUCUGACCGAGCAACGCCGCGUGAGUGAAGAAGGUUUUCGGAUCGUAAAGCUCUGUUGUAAGAGAAGAACGAGUGUGAGAGUGGAAAGUUCACACUGUGACGGCAUCUUACCAGAAAGGGACGGCUAACUACGUGCCAGCAGCCGCGGUAAUACGUAGGUCCCGAGCGUUGUCCGGAUUUAUUGGGCGUAAAGCGAGCGCAGGCGGUUAGAUAAGUCUGAAGUUAAAGGCUGUGGCUUAACCAUAGUACGCUUUGGAAACUGUUUAACUUGAGUGCAAGAGGGGAGAGUGGAAUUCCAUGUGUAGCGGUGAAAUGCGUAGAUAUAUGGAGGAACACCGGUGGCGAAAGCGGCUCUCUGGCUUGUAACUGACGCUGAGGCUCGAAAGCGUGGGGAGCAAACAGGAUUAGAUACCCUGGUAGUCCACGCCGUAAACGAUGAGUGCUAGGUGUUAGACCCUUUCCGGGGUUUAGUGCCGCAGCUAACGCAUUAAGCACUCCGCCUGGGGAGUACGACCGCAAGGUUG